rnacentral:rRNA from 1 species
CGUAGGGUGCGAGCGUUGUCCGGAAUUAUUGGGCGUAAAGAGCUUGUAGGCGGUUUGUCGCGUCUGCUGUGAAAAUCCGGGGCUCAACCCCGGACUUGCAGUGGGUACGGGCAGACUAGAGUGUGGUAGGGGAGACUGGAAUUCCUGGUGUAGCGGUGAAAUAGCGCAGAUAUCAGGAGGAACACCGAUGGCGAAGGCAGGUCUCUGGGCCAUUACUGACGCUGAGAAGCGAAAGCAUGGGGAGCGAACAGGAUU